UACGUAGGGUGCAGGCGUUAAUCGGAAUUACUGGGCGUAAAGCGUGCGCAGGCGGUUUCUUAAGUCAGAUGUGAAAGCCCCGGGCUUAACCUGGGAACUGCGUUUGAAACUGGGAGACUUGAGUGUGGCAGAGGGGGGUGGAAUUCCACGUGUAGCAGUGAAAUGCGUAGAUAUGAGGAGGAACACCAAUGGCGAAGGCAGCCCCCUGGGUCAACACUGACGCUCAUGCACGAAAGCGUGGGGAGCAAACAGG
rnacentral:rRNA from 1 species